rnacentral:rRNA from 1 species
AGCGAACGCUGGCGGCAGGCCUAACACAUGCAAGUCGAACGAACUCUUCGGAGUUAGUGGCGGACGGGUGAGUAACACGUGGGAACGUGCCUUUAGGUUCGGAAUAACUCAGGGAAACUUGUGCUAAUACCGAAUGUGCCCUUCGGGGGAAAGAUUUAUCGCCUUUAGAGCGGCCCGCGUCUGAUUAGCUCGUUGGUGAGGUAAAGGCUCACCAAGGCGACGAUCAGUAGCUGGUCUGAGAGGAUGAUCAGCCACAUUGGGACUGAGACACGGCCCAAACUCCUACGGGAGGCAGCAGUGGGGAAUCUUGCGCAAUGGGCGAAAGCCUGACGCAGCCAUGCCGCGUGAAUGAUGAAGGUCUUAGGAUUGUAAAAUUCUUUCACCGGGGACGAUAAUGACGGUACCCGGAGAAGAAGCCCCGGCUAACUUCGUG